rnacentral:rRNA from 1 species
CCCCUAGAUGUUCUGGGCCGCACGCGCGCUACACUGAACAGUUCAACAAGUCUUAACCUUGGCCGAUAGGUCUGGGUAAUCUUUGAACGCUGUUCGUGAUUGGGAUAGACCUUUGCAAUUAUGGGUCUUCAACGAGGAAUUCCUAGUAAACGCAAGUCAUCAGCUUGCAUUGAUUACGCCCCUGCCCUUUGUACACACCGCCCGUCGCACCUACCGAUUGAAUGGUCCGGUGAAAUCUCGGGACGGCGGCUUGGUCGCUUGCGUCCGACUGCUGAAACUUGAUUAAACCAUAUCAUUUAGAGGAAGGUGAANUCGUAACA